rnacentral:lncRNA from 9 species
AAGCACCAUCUGUUCACAGACUUGCUGCACGUCCAUUUGUUUUCCAUUCAGUAACAGCUUAUGCAGGAAGCAGAUUAUGAAGUGAGCAAAGAGGCCACUCGCUGGAUCAGGGCCUUUGUUCGUGCCCCUUAAAACUUGACAGAGGCAUGGCAGCAGCAGGUUCUGCGUGGUCCUGACUGGUUCUGGUCCUGGUGCUCUGACCUCGAUUACACCCUCUGACUUUGUUUUGAUUUGUUUAGUUUUUUUUUUUUUUUUUUUUUUUGGCCAUGGUAUGCAGAAGGCAGAAGUUCCCAGGCUAGGGAUUGAACCUGUAGCACAGCAGUGACCUGAGCCACAGCAGUGGUGAUGUCAGAUCCUUAACCACGAGGCCACUGGGGAACUCCUACACUGCUUGACUUUGAUGAAACCCUUUAUGCUAAAACCUCUCAGUGUUGACGCUUGUAAAGUACCCUUACAUGAUUUUCUUCCCACUCUUUUCCAACUGAGAACAGGAAAUGUACUGUCUCUCUCUGCACCCCUUUUCUCUGGUUAACGACGGAGUCAGUUCCAUAAUACCCUGACAUUUGGGCAAAAUUUGCAGGCUUCUUUUAAAUAUAUAGACUCAUUCGAUUAUACUUUUAAAACGAACAAGAAGAAUCAAUCACAGAAGGGCUGUAGACAUCAAGGUAUCACCUUUCGUUAAUCUCAAAAAAAGGAAGAUACCCUGUCUUUGAACUUUUUAGGCAUCCAUGGGGAAAUGACCCAGAUCCAAUGAUCUUCCCUCUGGGCCAUGGUACCUCCUGGUUAUAAGACUCUGUUUUGCAAAAUACCCUCACAUAUCAUCCCGUAGCCCUGAGAUACUCAAGAUUACAUCCCCAAAUGUCAUUGGACAUUUCUGUCAAUUAAACAUUUUCAAUUAUAGGAGUUCUUGCUGCGGUGCAGCAGGUUGAGGAUUCAGUGUUAUCUCUGAGGUGGCUUGGGUCGCUGCUGAGGCGCAGGUUCCAUCCCCAGCCUGACAUACUGGGUUAGGGAUUUGGCAUUGCUGCAGCUGUGGCACAAGUCACAGCUGUGGCUUAGAUUUGAUCUCUGGCCCGGGGACUUCCAUAUGCUGUAGCUGCAGCCAAAAAAAUUUUUUUUCAAUUAUAAAUAAUGCUGGGAUUUGUGUACAUGUGAUGUCACUCGGGUGGUGUCCUCUGUCACUCUCUUUCCCUUUUACGAGCCUGGCCUCAAAACUUUCCCUUUGGAAUCUCCCUCUCUACUUUGUAUUGCAGCUAGUCUGUUGCUGUUACACUCAGCAUCGUGCAACAAAUUGGAUGGUGUGGAGAUGGACUCUGUACUACUCACAUAGAUCCUCUCCCCCCGCCUCCCUGCCCCUGCAGGACCCAGAAUGUGCUGCUGCUGAACCCCCAUUGAGGUUUUUCCCAGGGAAUUGCCCCUGGGCAAAAUCAUGCCCUCUGCCUGGCGGCUGCCCCCAAUCCCAUGACUGGUCAAGGUGGGGAAGAGGGUCAUAGGCCCAGCAGCCCAAGCCUGCCCCAGAUCUCCCUGUGCAAUUGGCUGAGGCUGCUACCACCUCACAGUUCAAUUUCUUUCCCUGUCCAAUCCUGCCACCCUCACUUCCUCACAGGUGGUUUCUUCUGUGGAUGGAGGACCUCUUGCGUGCAAAUCUCAGAAUCUUAAGGUCUGUUUCCCAGAGAGUCUGACCUGCAACAGUGCAUAAUUUGGAUGGUGCCAUAGGCUACUUUGUAAUGAGUCAUUUUUUACUAAUCAUGCCAUUAUUAGGUGAUGCUUGAACUCAACAGGGGCCGAUAAAUAGUUUUGAACUGAUACACAAAGAAGUAAGAGAGGAGGCAAAUGUGGGAUCAAAAUACCACCUUUACUACUGAGAAAGCUGAUAUUGGGAACAGGACCUGUAUCUGCAGCAUUUAGAUGGCAGUGUUUGAGCUCCCAGCCAUGGCAGUGCUGGACCAUAGGUCUGCCCCAUGGAGAUCACGGAAGGUAGGAGCAGAACAGAAAGUGUGCUUCCUGGGGGCAGCUUGCUCUGGAGGGUGACUGGAGGCCUCCUUCUUUGUCCCAAAUGCAUCAAGGAGCACACCACUCUGUCUUCCCCCAGGGGAGGAGUGAAUUGGAGAGGGGAGCCCAGGGAUGCUGUGUUAGGUGGCUUCCUACACAUGGAAGCAAACAUACGGAGUGGGAAAAAAAUUCUCUCCCCAACAGAUGGCAAUCUCCCUUUUGGGAUGGUGUCUCUUUCUUGGGAAUGCAAUCCUUCAAAAGCUAAUUUCCCAAAUAUCAUUGAGUGCCUAUUAUAUGGCAGACAUUGUGUUAGGGGAUUCACAUGUGAAAAAAAAAAUAGGCAAAAAUCCUUGUUCUUGUAGAGGUUACAACCUAGUAGGGGACACAGUGUAAGCAAGGGAAAUAAGGACAAUAUAUAGUAGGAAGGACAGUUAUGAGUGAUCAAGAGAAGCCAUCAAAUGGGGAAGGGCAAGUGGGGGAGUGUGAGGAAUGGCACCAAAAGGGACCCACAGAAAGCCUCCCUUUGGCUUGGGAACCAGGGGGCUAGGGAGUUAAUAUUUGCUCCAGGAACUGUGCUGCCCACUCCAAUUCCAUCACCUCCAACACUCCCCCCUCUCUCACAGCCCUGCCUCCAUCCCCAGCCCCCUGUGUAUUGCUUCUGUGACCAGUAGCACCUGCUACAACCCUGUAGCCCAUCCGCUUCAGGUUCAAGGACAGCCGAUGUCCUGAAAGAUAAUGAACUUCCAAGGUGCUUGUCCCUGUCCCUCCACACAAGGAAACUCGGACUGGAUUGGGGAAGUCCUGGCACAGUGGAUGGUUAUUCUUUUAUAUUCCCAAUACGCCUCCUGCCUUCUGGGACUAGCAGCCUCAUUCUUUGGGGAAGCUGUUUUCUCCACCUCACCUGACUCAGAUGGGGAAAGCAAAUGUUUACAUGGUCCCUCUUGCCUGUAUAUGGUGGAUUGAUCAAAAAGGAGGCCCCUGGCCAAGCUGGGAUAAUUGUGGUAGCCACAGUGAUGUGUCCCCGGUGGGUGACUCAAGAAAACAAUCAGAAACUCUCCUGGGGUUUCAGUAACUAAAUCUGGGAGCAGAAGACUUUGUUCUUUUGAGAAAAAGUUGGGAGAUGUGAGUCCCUUUGCUGCAAUGGCCAUGUCUGUGGCUCUGGAGAAAACCAGGCAGUGGGAGCAGAGAAAGAAGCUGACUUACAGAGGGAGGCAGAGAGAAGAGAGUCCAGCCAGGCUGAGUCCUUGGCUCCAGGCAUCUCCAGUCCUUCAGGUACCCGAGCCAGGACAUUCCCAUUUUCUCCUUAGCUGGUUGGGUUGGGUCUCUGUCACUGGGAAUCAAUGGAGCAUGACUGUUUUCCUUGGAAAACCCAAAAGGCUCGUUACCUUCUCUACAUCUUCUGACUGUCCCAGGUUGGACUCUUCUCCCUUCUUUGUAUCUGGUGGCUCUCCAUUUCUUUCUUUCUUUUUUUUUUUUUUUUUUUUUUUUUGUCUUUUU